UGUGGGAUUGUUGCAACCAAAGUUUGGGCCUUAGUCCCAAACCCAAACACACGCCCAAGGACUCAAACUCGGUUCAACUAUGGCCUUCUAGUUCAGGUCAAGACUUCUUCAGCUCAAACAUAAUGUCGCGCCGAAUCUGGUUUUCCUCCAUUAAAACACCGGCUUAGCAUCUCACGCGAUGCAAAACAAACGAAACAGAGGUUCUCCAUCUCACGACCGUGAUUCUCCAAUCUUCAUCAUCUGAAACGAGCCUCCAAGUGUGCAUAUUCGAAGGCUCAACAUACUGCUUCAUCUUCAUGUCUUCAACCUUAUUUCAUGCUCGUGGGUUUAUGGAUUUUGAACGGGAACAAAAUUAAGAAAAAAGGCUCCAACAUCAAAUCACUUUUUGAAGUCCAAUAUCAACAACUCGAAUCAUCAUUGCGCGUGCAUGAAAAUGAAAAGAACAGGAAUCUAAGUCGAAGCGAGAACUUACCAGAUUGAGAUUUGUUGCAAACAAGAAUGGAGUACUCUUUCUCCUUUGUUUUGAUUUGGGAUGCUUCAAUCCAAUCUUCUUCUCCUUUUGUUCUUUGUAUGUUGAUGAGUGGUUGAGAAUUUGAUGCAGAGUGAGGUUGAGAGUUUGAUGUAGAGUGCUAUGAACUUAUGAAAUAUGCAGAAUGAUUCCUGAACCUUGAUGUCAUGGAGAUUCGGUUUGCACUAUGAGAUGGGAGCUGCAUAAUGUCCCUUGGAUUGCGUUGGAAGGAAAUGGUCAUGAAGAAAAAGUGGUUGAAUAAUGGAUGUGUUUCCAUGGGUUAUGCAUCCGAUUUGAGGAAAAUUGUAGAUUAGGAAUUAGAACUAUUAGAACUAGGUCACAUGUUAAGUAGUACUUGUUUUUUUUUUUUAAUUUGCUCAUUUGUAAAGUGUAACGGUAUUAACAUGGGUUAUGUACUUUGAAUCUUGAAUUUGAACUAGAUGUUGGAAAUUGAAAGAAAAGAAAAGUCCUUGAAUGUUUA